GUUUCUCUGCUUAUAUAUUAAGAAACUCUUUUGUAGAAGAUUACAUUGAUUCUUCAAAUCUCAGGCGCGCAUCUCAUGCUUCCCUAUAUUUCAACUACAUCCCACCAAGCCAUUGGAUUCGGGAUUACGCUUCCGUCUGAUUCACAGGCCUCCAGCCGCUUCAUCUCUCUCCUAUUACAUGUAAUCCUAACCUUCACCGUCUUGCCAAAUCUCAGGUGUAACUGUUGUCUUCCAUCACCAUGCUUCAUCAAAAUAUCUACAUGAUUGUAACAGAGGAAAACCAUUCAGCCUCUUCAGUAUCCAUCCUCUCUCACUAUAUACUAACAGAAAAGGGGAAGCAAGACGUCAGCUCUCGAUCAUUACUACGCUGGUUGGAAAGGAGUAUUAUGAUAAUUCCGAACAAAGUUAUGAAGGCAGUUAUAGAAGACUCAAGUACGUUGGUUACGAAACAAAAUGUUUCCUCAUACUGACUUUCUUGAGAGAAGUAUCAAACGUUUUGCCGAUACCCUGGGACCCUUUGAUUCCAUCUGAGCCCAAAAUCUUAUUUUGGAAGAAGUGUUGAUAAGGAGCCCACAAUCGGAUAGUAGCCACUCAUAUACAACUCCAGAAUUAGUUCUAACGAUCAUUCAUAUACAACUCAGUUAUGGAGGGUUUUAUAUGGGGUAUUCUCUUCUGCAACGAGGACUAAAGGGAUUAAGAUCUCAAUUUUAUCUUUCGAGAUCGCUAACACCAUUGUUAAAGGCUCAAAUCUUAUGCAUUCUCUGUCAAUGAUAGCAUCACACAUUUGAGAGAGGCUGUGUUACCUUCAGAAGGUGUACAAAACCAAUAUCAAAGGAUAUGGAUGAAUUCUGGAGGAUAGUGCUACAGACUAAAGGUAGCUCCUGCUUUGAGAAUAUUUCUCUAUUGUUUAUGUAUACUCUUCACACUGUUUUUCUAUUUGUGGCUUGGAGAUAAUCAAAGCUAUGUCCUGAAUAGAUAAUCGUUGAAGAUUUUUUUCUGGAGAGGUAGUGUGUUUUGAGUUUGCGUUUUUCUUACGUCUGAUGAUACAA